GAGGGCAGCGGCGCGGCACCGGGCUGCCCCGCAGCGCUCGGCCCGCGGCGGAGGGCGAAGUCGGGCGCUCGGUCGUGAUUCAGCGCUUCUGUUUUUAACCGGCCCGUGCCCGGUUCGGUGUCGCGGGGAUGAAGGGCUCCCAGCGCCGCGCCGGUGCCUCGUUGGGCGUUCGGAGCGAACGUGAGGUAAUUUCUGCUUUUUGGUUGGUUCUUUUUUUGUUGUUGUUGUUGUUGUUUUUGUUUUUUUUUUCCUUCAGGCUUUGCGCUCGGAGGGAAAACCCGGUUUAAAACGAAAGCCCCUCCGCAGCGCUUUCCCCACCUCCCGCGCACGCUGUGGUGGAGAGAGGGGCAGAACGGCGGUGUUUCCCUUUGGACGACGAGCGCCGGCUGACGGCCCGCCGCCCCCAGGCACUGCCACGGCACCACAGAUGGCCUCAGCUGUGCCGGGGGAGGAACGGGUUGGGUGUCAGGAAGCGUUUCUUGCCACAAAGACCAGUGGUGCUGUCAGCGCUGGGCACCUGCGUGAGGAAACGCCGGCGCAGGCUUGCCUGAAGUACAGUUUCUCCCCAGCUAAAGCAUGCAGUCUCAUGGACAGAGGAUGAGGAUUGCAGCAUGUGGAGCUCAUUUGUCCCCAGAUGUCACCACUUCACAGAGGUGGAGGGACUGAGGGGACACCUCGCUGCCUCUCUGGGGCAGACAGCCUUCCUGACCACUGAAGUAAAGCAGCAGGUAUCUCCCCCAUGCUUUCCUGAAUGCUCACCUCGAUUCACGCUCUCACAAAUGAUGGAUUUUCUCUGCUGGCUUCCAUUUGAGUAUUCUUUUCCUUAUUAAGACUAGUUUUGACUCUGUGUUGUAGGAUUCCCAGGGAAAAUAAUUCUUUACGUAGAGGAACCUCAAGUUGUUGGCUUUCAGAUUUCAAUUUUCAAUGAAAUUUCUGAGAAAGAACACAACCCAUUACCAUCCUGAGAAUUUGCUUACUCAGUAUCUGCAAAGAGGCAUUAUAUGCUCCAGCUCUCCAUGUGGAAGCAUGGGAAGAGGCUGUGUGUUUGCAGCCGUGCAGCACCUAUUUCAAAUGUUCAAUUUUGUGGUUGUGAUUGAAAACAGAGUCCCUGUGCACAAUUCUGGAAGCCCACUGUUUGGAUUGGAGUUACAGUGUGGUAUCUCUGCAAAUUCCCAAGCCCAUACUAAGCAUCUUGUGCUGAUGUAUCGUCUUGAUCUUAAUUAACUUUUUUUUUAAGUAAGCAUCUUAUCUACUCCAGUGAAUCCUGGUGAGAGUUCUGUACUGAACCAUGAACUGUCAGGUUGGUAUGUUACUACACUUCCAUCCACUUUCUUAUACUAAUACUGAGCAAUGUAUCUGCAGCAACAGAAACAGUCAUCUUUCCUAUAUAGCAACAAAAGAUUUGAGGACAGUUCUGAAACUGGAGCCCUUUGCAAAUUUACACCAACACCUUUGCAGGUUUGGAUUCUGAAAAAGCCAUCAGAGGGAAAAAAACCAUCCAAGGUCAGCAAUGCAUGUAUUUCCCUGAGAUCACACUGGUGGAAGUGUUACAGUAAAGUUACAAUGCUCCUGGGUAAAGACUGAUCAUGUACUCUGUACUUUACCAUAUGUUUAUAUAUGUAGUUUAUAUAUGUAGACUGUUGGAUGAGGGUUCCCUGUGAAGUGAGGAACUUCAAGACGCUGAAACCCUGGAAAACAUCAAGGGCUGACAGCUUUCUGAUUGCCCAUACCUUCAGCAAGAUACCUCGGUAUAUGCACAGAAAUCCAGACACCCAGUCUAGACGUGCAAUCCAGACACUUCUUAUAAUUAACGUGUAUUCUGGGAGGAAAUCCCAAGAGACAGUUCUAGCUGUACUUCCAACGCGAGCUUGUUUAUAGAGUCACAACCAGUAUUUCCAUGAUUUCACCAGCAAUGUUUCUGUCAUGAGACAACUGCUUUGAUAACUGUUAGUUAGAAGCGCAGAUAUUUUCUUCCUGGACGUUGCCUUCCUCUCAGCAAAGUGCAAGAUGUAGACCUUUGCCUUCCAAUUUUCAGGUUUGGGUCCCAGUCAAAUAAGACGUCUCAACCAAGCUCUCCAUUUGCAGUUAGCCCUGCCUAGAAGGUUGGAUCGGAUGAGCUCCAGAAACACAUUUUCCAACCUGAAUUCCUGCACGUACGCACAAGUACUUACUAACAGUACCUAGUGUUUGCUUUAGGUCUCCCAUGCCCAUCAGAGGAAAAAAGGCUCAAAGACACUACAGCCCAUAGAUGCAAGAAGCAAUGGAUGUCAGCCUCAGAAAAGGCAGCAGAAGGUACAGAAAUAGAACUGAUAUCCAGUGGUUCAAUCAUUUUUGCAGUAUCAUUCAUACCGAGGAGAGAUUUCAAGGGAAACUGUGUACUCAUCCCGAUUUUUUUUUUUGCCCUUCAUGCAUAUUUAAAACCCACAGACGAUUUCCAGUCUUUCAAUUACCUUUCUGUGUUUUGCUUUUUUGUUUUGUUUUGUUUCUUCUUCUUUUUUUUUUAAUUUAUUUUUAAAGCUAUUUCAGAAAUACACUGAUCAAAGGGCUUUGUGGAAUUGUAGCUUGCUUCCUACCUUUCCAUAACUAAUGGAAAUACACAGCCGAGGCACAGUGAGCGUGUGGCUGUACUAUUUAUUGCUUUCCUCUGGGGAGCCAUUUAUCUUAAAACUACUACAGUUUACUUUCUAAAACGUGUCUGAUUGUAACACUUGCAAAUGUAGAUGUGGAAAGUUGUCUCCGAUAAUUUAUGCUCUCACGCUUCCAGAUCACACGUUAUUUUUGAAGCUUCCCUUUUCACGUCGAUGUUCCCCACUUUCUCUAAAGCAAAGAGGGGGAAAAAAGCUCACCUGCAGUACAGCCACGUGAAAGCUGUGUGGAUGAAAUGAAAUCUGCAUUACGUUGCUCUCCGUGCCAUUUUGGGCCGCAGCCUACACCGUGUAUACUACUAAGGCCAAAGCCAUAGGGGAAGGGCAGAAUACAGUAAAAACUACUAAACAUUUGUUGAUUUAAUUCACACAGAAUAGGAGAAAUGUGGAAAACAAAACCAACCAUACGAGUUUAUGGUGCCUGAAGACUUGUCCUUUACAAUUUACCUCGGUGGAUUGGAAAAUAGGAGAUCUGAUGGAAUGUUCUCCAUCAAAGCCCCAAACUUUUUGUUUCGCAUUUCGGCUCCUGCCAAACUUGACAACUGUCUGCCACAAAACGGAAGUCUCCUACUUUUGGAAGCACACCUCUGGACUUGGAGUCUUCCAUUUCCUUAAGGAAAAAAGCAGCACGCUGGAUGGAAACUAUCCUACUGUCCAUAUAUAUAUAUAUAUAUAAACUUCAAGUUUGCUGUUGAAAAAGAAAAAAUGAUGGAAAAAAAUGGGCUAGUUUUAAUCACUGUUGUUGCUGUUAGCCCACAGCUGCAGGCAAGGCAACAGACUGCAGAGUGGACAGGAAGAAAUGCCCAGCAAAGGCUCUGUGAAAGGAAAACAUAUGCAGAAUAACUAAGGAAUAGCUUCGUUUGCCUUAUUCUGGUGAAGUUCCUUGUUCGGAGUUAAAAGCACUCAGUAUUCAAUGAUUUCUUAAUUUUUAACAAAGGAGACCCAGGGCAGUGUCACAAAUUAGAGGGCAUUCCAGGCCUUUUUUUCUGCAUAUUGUCCCCUCCACGUAAAUCGGGCUCACAUUGCUGAGCAUCAGCGAUACCCAACUCGACACAGAAGGCAGCAGAACUACAGGGCUUCCAGCCAGUUUGGGUUUUGCCCAGAAAGAAAACCAAAGCGAUCUCUCAUCUUCUACCUCUACGUGUGCCUGUUUGCUUUAGGAUGCCAAUUCUGGCACAGCAAAGUAAAUUGUUAGGGUACCUCAUAGCGGCUGGGGGCCGCACCUCACGAGCACAUCCCUAUAAAACGAGAGGCCCUCACAGAACGGAAUUGGGGUCAUGCGGGCUGCCUGCUGCCUCCUCCCAUCGGAACGCUUCCCCCAUCGGAAGGUUUCUAGAGCAGGAAAGAGAGGGGUGAUUUACAAAACAAGUCAAAACUUUCCACUGCACUUUAACUUUCUUUUUUCCUGUGGUGAAAGGCAGACAAUUUUGAUGUUUAUUAUCAGUUUUUCCUAUUGUUAUUGCACGGGCUUAAUGUAACUGCCGUGCUAUAAUAAUAUACAUCUGCUCUUUGAAAUGCACCAGUGAAUGUCAGUUAGGCAGCAUUUCUGCUUCUCAUGGUGUCAGAGUAAUUAACAUCCCUUUCUUCUAAAGUAAGCGAUGAGACGAUACAUUAAAGUCCCCGCAGAACACACCAGAUAGCAUUGAAACUGUAGAAAACACCACAGAGAUGAGGGCUGCCUUUCAGCACAACCCUUUGGAUACACGUUUAAACCCAGGGCAAAACCCUACCAGCACUGUGGGGCCUUGGGCAAGAGUGCUGGGGUGAUGUGCAGGCAGGGACAGCAGGGCAGAGGGAUGGAUGGUGCAGGGCUGCGGCCCCCUCUGGUUUUGGAGCCUGUGAGGCUCACAUGCAUGUAGCAAGAAGAGCACAGUGCCGCAAGCCCUGCCAGCAGCUCCUGGCCAGCCUUGCAGAGAACAAGUCCUGGCACUGGUGCCUCCAGCAGAGGCUCUCCCUGCGGUGAAUCACCCCCCCUGGCUCACAGCACAGCCCAGUACCCUGCCAUGUGGCGCGGGACGGGCUUGCUGAGGCUCUGGGCAGGUGAUGCCUGGGCUGCUUCAAUUUCCUUUUGUCCUCCGAUCCAUUUGUCCACCCUUAGACGCCUGCCUUGCUAUUUUUCUUUGUACAGCACUGAGUUGCAUUAAAUGUUUACGAUCCUAUUACAGGAUACAGUUUUAGAUUACUAUAAUAAAAGGGAGUUGGUAAAACUUCAUUAUCUGUGGUGGCAGAGGAGAAUAAAAUCUUACACCUACAAGUCUGUCCAUAACAUUGCUUGGAACGACUUUCUUAAAUCCAAAGCGCACACACACACACACACACAAACACAACAGAGAAACCAAACUCGCUGUAACUGGCCCCAGUGUCACUGUAUGUCACGAUGCUGGACGUAGGCUGUAUCAAGCACAGGGAGAAAACUAAAGCUACAGUUUCCUUGCCACUGCGUGCAUUAUUUCAGGGCAAUGCCCUUUUGCUUCCUGUGCAACCGUGGUGGGAAGUACGCAGCUAUGGAAGUGUAGCAGCACAGCCUGAGCAAGGACUGACUUAUAUCCAGCUAUGGGAGUAGAGCUCUGCAUUUCCUGUGAUCUUUUCCUUUAAAAAAUAAAUUGCUGGUACUUUAAUCAUUUAUCAGAAGGAAGAGAGUGUUUGUUUCAAAGGCGCAGAAUGAAGGCUUUAAAAUUAUACUCUGCUCAUCCGUGGCUCCUGAGCAAAUGCAGGAGUAAUAAGGUUUUUAGGCUCUGCAGAGAUGCUUUAAUUCCUUUCAGUUCUACAGGUAAAAAAAAGUCCCUCCUCCUCCCUCCUACCAGGUGUGUGAGAAGGCACAUUUCAAUAAAACCCUCUUCUCGGUUUUGAGUUCUCUGUAGAAGGAAAAUAAAACACACCAAAGCUGAAACACUGUGCUGACAGCCCCUGCAAAAUACUCGCCUCUUCCCCACCCACGGCAUUUAAGAGCUUGGUUUUGCUGCAGAGGGCUGCAGAGAAAAGAAGAGCCAGCAGGUCCAAGGGAGAAUUCCCCACGGUCUGCAGGGAGGAGCUGUCUCCCUCAUGUAUUUCUUGUGUUUCCUUCAAUUCCUUCGCCUUUCCCCCCACAAAUCUUCUCUGCACGUCCCUAUGAAAGCAGGGCGAGCUGCAGCCCCACUGCCCAGCUGUGGCCUCCAGAUGUGCUGGGGGAUGCAGGCACCCAGCUGGGGCUCCUCCUCUCUCCACCCAAGUCGGUUUUGGUUCUGCUCCCCUUACCAGCAGAAGAGGGGUUUGGCAAGGCCGACUGUCCCAUUCAUUUUGUAGAAGAGAUCUGGAGUGUUCCUGUUCACCAGCUCACCUCCUUGGGCAACUCUGCAGGCAGCCAUCUCGUGCCCUGUGAGAAACUAACUGUGGCACGCUUUAUACAUCAAAUUCCUGCUCAAUAGUUUGCAUGGAAAGCACUGAACGUCCGAGAGGCAUUUUCACACAAAUGGUAUUGUUAGGACUCGGGCGCUUCUGCCCACAGGCAGGAGAGUGGAAAGCUGCUUUCAGGACUGCUGCUUGGAGCAGACCUGUUUGAGACAUGGUUUUGUGGGACGAUCUGAGCCUCCCAGGCUUUGAAUUCUUGUGGCUUCCAGCUCUGGGGGCAGGGGGGGCUCAGCGAGCGUCAGCCCAGGCUCCUCAAAGCUGAACGAGAAGUUGGGGCUUAUUAGUCAGAAACCACCUCAAAGCUGCCGAGCUGGAGGAUGCUGAAGCCCCGGGUGUGCUAUUUAACACCUGCCCGCUUCUGCUGCAACUGUAUCCUACCAGGCUGGUUCCAGUUGCAUUUGUGGUUAGCUAAGCAAAACCCCAAAUCUUCAGCAAUGACUUUAACACUUUUUUUUUUCUUUUUCUUUUUCUUUUUUCUAGGGCUGCUGCUGAAAAAAAAAAAAAAAAAGUCUGUCACUUGGCUACCUUCAUCUCAGUGCAGAGUUUGUAGGGAGAAAAAGACAGGUUGAACGCCCCGGCUGUCUGUUUUAUGGACACAUCAGUUUCAGGAAUCAGAGGUGGCUGGGAUGGAAGUGACCUCUGAGGUCACCAGUUCAGCUGGGAAGGACAAGAGUGAAUAGAGGGGAAAUGGAAACAAGUUGUAACAGAAGGAGACCUCUCGGAAUGCGUCGUCUCCUAAUUGUCAGGAGAGCGUGGAAAGAAGAUAUUUAUCGCAUUAGCCCUGCACGAUCAAGGAGAAGGCUGGCUGUUUGAGGAUGCUUUAUUAAUGAAUGCUAGAGGACAUCUUCACCCCUCCUAAGGCACAAAUUGGGGAGGUAGUCGGCCCUGAAGCCGUGGAAUUCCCUCGCACGAAGAAGAGGGUUUUUAAACCCAAAGGCACAAUCCAUGCAGGCACUCCACCACAGGCAUCUUAGUUUCUCAAACCAGAGACCAGCACAACAGACCUUCUAAAGUCUCUCCUCUGUCCACUACGACUUGCUCUCAUGUUAAUGAGCUUGAGAAACUCCUUGGCAUGUUUUAAGGCUCCACAGCGCUGAAAGGAGUGGGAACACAAACCAACCCCAGCAAAGUGACCGAUGGGGAUAUAAAACACUGGGCUCUGUAUUGAAGGGCAGAGGUCCCAGAUCCAGCCCCCGGGUGCAGCAGGACAUGCUCUGGAGGAGCUCUGUGCUCAGAACAUUUCAAACAAAGCAUUAGAUGAGCGCAGCUCACCGAACCUUCACUUUUUGCCUCUCUGUGCACCCACAGUUGCGUUCCUCCUUGUGGGACAUAGAGGCAGCAUCUCACUUGAAACUCUGAUAGAAGUCAACUCGUAGCCACAAUUAAAAUUAAUUACAGAGCUGUAG